CUUCCCUCAUCCAGCUAGAAUGGACUACCUGUAAAGACACACAUCGGGAACUUACGUAUAGCCAUCUUUGUCAGAGUAAAGAAAGUCCUUUUCAGAAUGAAGCCAACUAGGAGGAAAUAGAGCUGAAGGAGGGAGAAGAGAAAUUUGGGUGAAAGGCUCAGAGAUAGUCUCAAUGAUUCAUCUCAAAGUGGGCCAACAUGGGCCAAGUCUCCAAUGCAUGAUCAGCGAGGAAAGAUGUAGCAGCCCCUUCUCAGACAGCUCCUCCAAGGGAGGAGAAGUGCUGUAGAAUAUUCCAUUAAUCAGAACUGAAAGAUGAAAGAAUUGAUAUCGGAUAGCAGCCAGCGCCUGUGUGGGGCAGAGUCUCCAGCAGCAGUCCUCAUGAAUCCCUCCUCACCUCCAAGUGCUCGGCACCCACUCCAAAAGUGGAGUCUGUUUUCCUUCCCUGAACCUCAGAUGGCCUCAUGAAUUGGUUUGACCAAUAAAACACGGAGGAUCUCAAGCCCUUGGACUGCUGAAUCCAGCCCUUAUGAAAGCACUGACAGCUUCUGCCUCUUUGAAGCCAGCACUGACUGAGAAGCCCAGUGACUCUGAGCUCCCCAUGCUGUAGGAAAACCCAAGGAACCCACAUGGGGAGAGAUUGCCAUGCCCGAGGAGACCCCAGCCCCUCCAGCCAUUCCAGAAGGAGCACCAGCUACCCUUCCACAUGCAUCUUGGACAUUUCAGCCCCAGCAGAGGCGGGGCUGGGGGGAGCCCAAGAAUGGUGCAGCCCAGCCCUGCUCACAUUGCAGAACUGUCAGAAAGGAUAUUUUGUCCUUUUAAGUUCCUAAACUUGGGGCCCUUUGUCAUGCAGCAACAGCUAACAGGAAAAUAUUCCUAAGGAGUCAGCUGGGCAGAAUUUGUUUCUCUCUCCUUCAGACUUAACAGCCUCUAUCUUUGCAAGUUUUACAUCUUUGCACUUUGCAAGUGAUAUUAUUUACAUCUUCAUACAUUUUUAAGUGCAUCUCACAUCACCUCAUUUGUCAUCAUCCUCUCAUAAGCCACACGCUUGUACGCGUUUUGUGAAAAUGGUGCUGUGGGUUUAGGUCAACAGAUGAAAGAAAAAGAAAAAAAAAAGGAAGAAGAACUAAAAUCUGUCGCUAACUGCAAAGAUGUAAGGGUAUGUUUCAUUACUUUGUCUUUUUUUUUUUCUAAUGA